UACAGAGGGUGCAAGCGUUGUUCGGAAUUAUUGGGCGUAAAGCGCGUGUAGGCGGCCGUGCAAGUCGGGUGUGAAAGCCCUCGGCUCAACCGAGGAAGUGCGCCCGAAACUGCAUGGCUUGAGUACCGGAGAGGAUGGCGGAAUUCCCCAAGUAGAGGUGAAAUUCGUAGAUAUUGGGAAGAACACCGGUGGCGAAGGCGGCUCACUGGCUCGUUUCUGACGCUCAGGCGCGACAGCGUGGGGAUCAAACAGG
rnacentral:rRNA from 1 species